CAGUCGCCGCGGUAAUACAGAGGGUGCGAGCGUUAAUCGGAUUUACUGGGCGUAAAGCGUGCGUAGGCGGCUUUUUAAGUCGGAUGUGAAAUCCCUGAGCUUAACUUAGGAAUUGCAUUCGAUACUGGGAAGCUAGAGUAUGGGAGAGGAUGGUAGAAUUCCAGGUGUAGCGGUGAAAUGCGUAGAGAUCUGGAGGAAUACCGAUGGCGAAGGCAGCCAUCUGGCCUAAUACUGACGCUGAGGUACGAAAGCAUGGGGAGCAAACAGGAUUAGAUACCCCAGUAGUCCCUGUAUCUUAUAC
rnacentral:rRNA from 1 species